GAAGGCUUGUGGUGUAAGAGUAAUUCACGCAUGAAGAGGUAUUAUUCGAUAUACUCUUAUUAGAUUCAUGUUAAUUUAUGCAAAGAUCCUGGGUUAUAUGUUUGAGUAUACAAAAACGGCCAAAGAGACUACUUGUAGGAGAACGGUUGAGGUUCCAAACCCAUUUCUUAAAUUUAGAAAACCGUUGAUUAUCUAAAACCAAUUUCUUAUGUUUAAGUAUUUGACUAAUAAAAAAAAUUGUUGUGAAAUAAGAGACUGCUUCCAAGUAAAACUGGUUUCCUUGAUAUAAUAUUUUUUUAAUUAAAUUUUUUUUUUCAACAUAAUACAUUAUUAUACGUAUAUAUUCUUCUUGUGAAGAUUUAGGAGACUACUUCUAAGUUGAACCGGUUUCCUAAAAAUAAUAAUUUUAAAAUUUUAUAUCUUUUCAAAUAAUAGUAAUGUAGUAUAAGUUAUAUAUAUAAAUCUAUUUAAUUCUAAAAUUAUGCAACAAAUACAAUAGAAAAAAAACUACAUCUCAUAUUAUUCUACCUAUAUGAUCGUGGUUAAUACCUGUCAAAAGAAACAAAAAAAAAAAAAAAACCAGAACUGCGCCAUAGCUUCUUGAACAAUGUCAUAGCUUAAGUCGCACACCAUCCCUACAACCACCACUCCCCAUAAUCCAAAUUCUUCCAUCAAAAUUCCACCUUUGCUUUCGUAAAAUUCAUAAUCAGGGCUCUCACAUUGUUCAAUUCGUUAAUUUGUGAUUCAAUUCGUCAGUUCUUUACGUCAAUUCUUCUGGAAUUUGUGAUUCUUUUUGUCAAUUUGUGAUUCUUUCGGGAAGAAAAGAGAUUUUCGAAAAAGUAUAAAAUUAGGGCACUUGUAAAGGAAAUUGGAGCUACCUAUUUAUGUUUGGUAAGCAAGCUUUUCUGCUAUUAUAUUGCUUCUCUUCUCAGUUUUAGUUGCCUACAAUGUGUUUGUUAAAAUGCCUGAAUGAAUUUUUUCUAUUAUUUUCUUCUUGCUAUUCAUAACUUACUGGUUUUUUUUCAUUUAGGUAUAAUGUUUAUAACCUUGUUGUUAUCAUGAACAUAAUCAGGAAUUAGAAAUAUAUACAUUACUGUUUGUUGGGUUUUUCAUUUUGGAAGAAGUAUGCACUAUUCUGCAUUUCUGCUUCUCUGCUGAUGUUUUUAAUCUUGGUUGGAUUUUUUUGACUUUUUGUCUUUUGGGUAAAUUUAAUUUGCUUAGUAACUGUUGAUUAUUCUACAAUGCUAAUUGGCAUGGUGAUAAUCUUUAAUAGAUGCCAGUUGGAGUAUAAUCUCGAUGCAAUUGCUCGUGCCAUCACAUCGCGAUUGUUGUUUGAUCUGUGAUUGAGAGCUAGUUUUAUACUGUCGUUUCAUUUACACCGCGAUUAUCUUAUCUUCCAAUUUCCUUUACAAAUGCCCUAAUUUUAUACUAUCGUUUGGCAUUAUAUAAAUUUAGAGCCUCCUAGUCCCUGAUACUGGCCUUUUGAGAUGUUGAAGAUUAAUUUUGUAGUCUGUGGUGCUAACUCAUUGAUAUCAGUUCAUUGGUAACAUGCCAUAAAGGGAUCUAAGAAUAUUUCAUGACUAAGCAGUGAAAAAAUUCGAAGUAGCUUGUCUUGUGUUCCUCCAUGAUUAAUCCCACAAAAAAAAAAAAAAAGACAAGUCAGCAGCGCAAUUUACUAGCAGUGCAAUGAGAAUUUGUAGACUGUAUACAUCAUUUUAACCUCAAUUCAUUAUGUAAAGUGCUUGAUCUAAGUUUAUGGAAGUAGUUUUUAUAAUUAAUGAAGUGAAAAAUCACAACUAAUUUAAGCAAGAACACAGAGAAAAUGAGAUAGGAAAGUGCAUACUUACAAAGUUUAUAGUUUUGCUAGUCCUGUGAACUACCAAGUCUGUCAUAUUUCCUAUCAAAUAUGCAGUCAGUCCAAACAUGAAGAGCAUAAAGAAGAUGUUAAAGACCAUCUCUCUAAUAUUAGCAGGGUGCAAAUCACCAUAACCAACAAUUGGGAGAGUGGUUAUUGACCAUUAAAUUGAUGUCACAUGCAUACAUAAGCCACAUAUUUGCAGUCUCAAAGUUGGGAAAUGAUAAACCAAUCCAAGUCUUUCUAGGGUCAGGACAAUGAGCAGCGAGGGAAAAAUAAAAGCAAGCAACACAAUGUACCGAAAAUAGGGUGACCUUCAAAUGAGCAACUAUUAUGUACAAUCAUCCAAGAUAAGUAAAUAAAUCCACCUUCACCAAAGUUGUUUAAACUUCAAAAUUAUACUCACACAAACAGUGCGUCGCACGUGCCUUAGGUGCAUUGCAAAAACGGUGUGACGCAGAUACCAAGGCCACGAGGCCCACUUCCUUUUUAUUUCAAAAACCACGAGGCCACGCCACGUCAAUCUAUUCUCCUAUUUCUCUCUUUCUCUCCCCUCUCCCCUCUCCCUCUCUCUCCCCCUCACUCAACCUUAAUUCCUCACAUCAACUUCAGCCGUUUCAUCAUCUCUCCCUCUCCCUUUCCCUCAACCCUAAUUCCUCACAUCAACUUCAGCCGUUUCAUCAUCUCUUUCUCUCUCUCUCUAUCUCUCUUUCCUCUCCCUCACUCAACCGUAAUUCCUCGCAUCAACUCUCAUCAUCAUCUCUCUGGUUUCUCUUCAAAUCGACCAUCUUCUUCUUCACCAACAACGGCAACACCAUUUCCGGCGAGCGAAUCUUCAGCAUCGAAGACCCGACAACACAACAACGACGAUUUUUCGUCCUUUUUUCCCCCAAAGAGUCCGAAUUCCUCGCUGCUAACAUGGUAUUUUUCAUCGAUUUUUCCCCAAAUUGAAGGGCGAUUUUCUCGCUACUGUUUUCUCAAUUAAGAACGAAAAUUCAAGAAGAACGAGAUUUGAAGAAAGAACGAAGUUCGCUCUGAUUUUUGUUAUUUAGGUUUUUUUUAAAAUAUAUUUAGUGCAAUUUCAUUCUUGUAUGUUAGAUCAGGUUUUGUUUUUUUAGGUUCAUUUUUUUUUGUUUCGUUUUCAGUAUGUUAGAUCUGAAUAUUUAAGUUUUUAAUUUGGUUUUUUUAUUUUUUAAUUUUGUAUAGAUUAUGGUUGAUUGCUUUU